rnacentral:lncRNA from 1 species
GAAGCUCAAGUUCACCAUGAGCCACGCAGUAAGCCAUGCUUUAGCCUCUGACCUGUGCUCCAAUUUUGGUACAAUGAUUUCUGCCAUGUUCUCCAACAGGGUGAGGAAACAGACAGCACUAAGAGAAAAAGCUGGAACUCAAAACCAAAUUAACUCCAAACUUAAGUUUUCCCACUUCGACAAGAAAAGGAACUGCAUGUGUUUUUCUGCCUCUUGCAGAUGUAUGUCAUAAAAGUUGGAUGCCUUCCUUUUAAGACAUUUGAAUGGAUCACCAAAUAAUUACCUACUUUUCUCUCACAACUCAGAUAAAUAAUUAAAAGGAGAUAUACACAGAUUGGUUCCAUACUUAAGAGUGAGAAUCAAUUAAAACAAAAUUGUAUGCA